GGCCGGUUAGGAGCUGCACGAUCCUCGCUGCUGUCUUUUCUCAGUUAUACCAACGUCCGUGUGGUUCCUGCUUCGAUUUUUCAAGAGAAGGCUCCUGAAGCAGAAGGGAUCAUUUCUAUUUAAUGGCCCACUCAAGAACAGACUCUGCUUUCCUUCUUCUAAAUUGCCCUGCCUACUGGGCAAGGAUGAAAGAUGGGAACCAAGAGAGAUUAUGUAAAGGUGCAAAUUUCCAACGAUGAAUGUCAUUAUAUUGUACACCUAAAAUGUACCAAUGAUUAGAAUGAAUAAUUGAUAAUGCAAAACAGGAAGAAAAGGUCCAAAAGGGUAG